rnacentral:rRNA from 1 species
CCCCUAGAUGUUCUGGGCCGCACGCGCGCUACACUGAACAGUUCAACAAGUCUUAACCUUGGCCGAUAGGUCUGGGUAAUCUUUGAACGCUGUUCGUGAUUGGGAUAGACCUUUGCAAUUAUGGGUCUUCAACGAGGAAUUCCUAGCAAACGCAAGUCAUCAGCUUGCAUUGAUUACGUCCCUGCCCUUUGUACACACCGCCCGUCGCACCUACCGAUUGAAUGGUCCGGUGAAAUCUCGGGACGGCGGCUUGGUCGCUUGCGUCCGACUGCUGAAACUUGAUUAAACCAUAUCAUUUAGAGGAAGGUGAAGUCGUANCA